UACGGAGGGUGCAAGCGUUGUCCGGAUUUAUUGGGUUUAAAGGGUGCGUAGGCGGCCCGUUAAGUCAGUGGUGAAAGCCUCCAGCUCAACUGGAGAACUGCCAUUGAUACUGACGGGCUUGAGUACAGACGAGGUUGGCGGAAUUGACUGUGUAGCGGUGAAAUGCAUAGAUACAAUCAAGAACUCCGAUUGCGUAGGCAGCUAGCUAGGCUGUAACUGACGCUGAGGCACGAAAGCGUGGGGAGCGAACAGG
rnacentral:rRNA from 1 species